rnacentral:lncRNA from 1 species
CACGGAAAGCUACACACAAACUCGGAUCGUAAAAACAGAUCGUAAGGAAUUUUAAAAUACAUUAAAAAAAAAUUCAUGCUUCAAAUAAAAAUUUAUACAUAGUUCAAGCACCUUACAAAACAUGUUUCAAAUAAAAAUUCAUACAUAUUUCAAGCCUUCAAAUAAAAAUUCAUACAUAGUUUAAACAUCUUAAAAUACAUGGUUCAAAUAAAAGUCAUAUAUAAUUUAAAAUAACUUUUCAUUAACUAAUAAUUAACAAACUUAAAACAAACAAUCUGCUGGUGUGUCAUGUAAACUAAAACCAGCUUCAUUCCCUCUAUCUUCCUUAUCAUUCCUCAAGCAUUCAUCAAUAUCAUUAGCAUCAAAAGGAUUAAUUUAUUUGUUGUUCACAAACUUUGUAGUGUUUUCCUCUUUGUCCCCUAAGCUCUGAAAAUAAACAAACCAUUUUCAAAAUCAGAACCCAGUUUUCUCUCAAACCAUUCACAAUCACAGACUCACAGACUUUGUUUUUGAAAUCCAAACAGUCAGUGCACGGUGCACCCCUGUUCUGAAAUCCAAACAGACUCACAAUUACGUUUUUCUUCUCCAAAUAAAAUCCAUUCAUCACAAAUUCACAAUUCAGCAUCCAAAUUCAGUGCAAGAAAAAACAGAGUCACACACACGCUACCUCUGUUCUGAAAUCCUCACUGUAAAGAAACUGUAAAGAUAUGAAGCUGUAAAGAAACUGAAAUCCUCCAUCCAAUUGUUAGGUCAUCUUCCAUCCAAUUCUUAGCUAGGUCAUCUCCAUCCAAGUUUUUUUAACAAAAAAAAGUUCAAAAAAUGCCCCGGGCUGGUCAUAAGUCACACAGAUUUGGAUAUGGACAUGAAGAGGAGCAAAAAGGCUUGGAAAGGAAUAAAGAAAUAUAAUAAGAUAAUAUGAACAGGGUAACCACAAGGGCAAAAUAAUUACAGCAUUAUAAUAAAACUCCUCUUGCUCAUGGCUAAAUGCAAAAACCAAACGGACAACCUCGCCCAAAUCAUAUAUGAUAGAGAAAAUUCAAAACAACUGCCUGAGAUCGCAAGCCACAUUUCACGCCAUUAACACAAGUAAAGAAACUGUAAAGAAACUGAAAUCCUCACUGUAAAGAAACUGUAAAGAAACAGAGUCACACACAUCACUAUUCACUACAUCAGAGUAAGAAACGGAGAAACGGAAAAGAAGCACCCCUGGCACUAGAAAAAGAAGCACCCACGAACAGGGAAAAAGAACCAGUGGCUGUGGUGAAGACUUACCUGGUGAAGACUGGAGAAGACUGGAGAGACGCCGUUGUUGUUGUGUGGACUCUGGUUCUCACGGUGAAGACUGGUGAAGACUGGAGAAGACUGGAGAAGAUCAGGGGCGACUGGCGAGGGCUGUUGUGGAGGUGGACGGUGGUUGAUUGUUGGCUGAGAGAAAUAGAUUACGAGACCGAGAGUCCGAGACACCGAGUCACUGAGGAAUCCUCAGUGAGGAUUUCGAAUUUUGGGUUUUCAAUUUAGGGAUUUCUGAACUUGAAGUCUUGAUUCUUGAACAAUGAAUGUGAACUGUGAAGAGAAGAGAGAAGACUGAUUGAUUCGGUGAAGAGAGAAUAAUGAAUUGCAUUUGAUUUGGUAUAUCCAAUAGGCGGUCGACACGUGGCUCCUGAAUUGUAUUUAAUUUCCUGCGGGCAAAAUCGUUGAAUCGGCAGUGAAAUCGCGAUUUUAAGCGAUUUCACCCGAUUUUAA